GAUGAACGCUAGCGGCAGGCUUAAUACAUGCAAGUCGUGGGGCAGCAGGGGUAGCAAUACCCGCUGGCGACCGGCAAACGGGUGCGGAACACGUACGCAACCUUCCUUUAACUGGAGAAUAGCCCCUCGAAAGAGGGAUUAAUACUCCGUAACAUAUUGAUAAGGCAUCUUAUUACUAUUAUAGCUCCGGCGGUUAAAGAUGGGCGUGCGCCUGAUUAGAUAGUUGGCAGGGUAACGGCCACCAAGUCUGCGAUCAGUAACUGGUGUGAGAGCACGACCAGUCACACGGGCACUGAGACACGGGCCCGACUCCUACGGGAGGCAGCAGUAAGGAAUAUUGGUCAAUGGACGCAAGUCUGAACCAGCCAUGCCGCGU
rnacentral:rRNA from 1 species